rnacentral:lncRNA from 1 species
GUGGGUUCCAAUUUUCAUGGAUUAAGGAAAAUUUGCAUGUUUGUGGAUGUUUAAUUGCAUGGUUUGGUCAAUGUGUGCUUAGUGAUGAUACAAUUCUAUAGAAAUUUGUUACUUGCUGAAUGUUUGAUUUUUGUUGUUUACCUGUACAUACGAAAUCAAUGAAAAUUAGUAUCCAAAGAAUAAUAAUGAAUCAACAGUACAUGCAGUAUAUUGAAACAAAGACAUCAAUUUUACAAUAAUCUUUUAUUAGGUACCAUGCAUGAUGCUACAGCUGUAUUUAGAUAUGAAUCACAUUCAUUGAAAAACUCAUCUAUACCUAACAACCAUUACUUGGAAGAAGAACAUAUGACCACCAUAACCAUGUGGCAUUUGCUAGGAUGUUGUCUGUUCUAGAGGAUGUGUGGAUAAAAAAGCCAGCAUCAUUAGGAAAUGUGAUAUUGCACCUCUUAAAGCACAUAUUAAAGUAUACAGUACAUGUAUAGCUUAACUAGAGAUCCCAUGCUUUUGUGUCUUCCACUACUAUUGGAGAAUUUUCAAUGUGGGAUAAUAUUUGAUUAAUUGAAUUGCAAAACAUUUUAUUUCCUUUCUGGUUU